rnacentral:rRNA from 1 species
GACGAACGCUGGCGGCGUGCCUAAUACAUGCAAGUAGAACGCUGAGGAGAGGAGCUUGCUCUUCUUGGCUGAGUUGCGAACGGGUGAGUAACGCGUAGGUAACCUGCCUUGUAGCGGGGGAUAACUAUUGGAAACGAUAGCUAAUACCGCAUAACAAUGGAUGACACAUGUCAUUUAUUUGAAAGGGGCAAUUGCUCCACUACAAGAUGGACCUGCGUUGUAUUAGCUAGUAGGUGGGGUAAUGGCUCACCUAGGCGACGAUACAUAGCCGACCUGAGAGGGUGAUCGGCCACACUGGGACUGAGACACGGCCCAGACUCCUACGGGAGGCAGCAGUAGGGAAUCUUCGGCAAUGGGGGCAACCCUGACCGAGCAACGCCGCGUGAGUGAAGAAGGUUGUCGGAUCGUAAAGCUCUGUUGUAAGUCAAGAACGGGUGUGAGAGUGGAAAGUUCACACUGUGACGGUAGCUUACCAGAAAGGGACGGCUAACUACGUG